rnacentral:rRNA from 1 species
AGGGCGGGACACGUGGUAUCCUGUCUGAAUAUGGGGGGACCAUCCUCCAAGGCUAAAUACUCCUGACUGACCGAUAGUGAACCAGUACCGUGAGGGAAAGGCGAAAAGAACCCCGGCGAGGGGAGUGAAAAAGAACCUGAAACCGUGUACGUACAAGCAGUGGGAGCCUCUUAAUGGGGUGACUGCGUACCUUUUGUAUAAUGGGUCAGCGACUUAUAUUCUGUAGCAAGGUUAACCGAAUAGGGGAGCCGAAGGGAAACCGAGUCUUAACUGGGCGUUAAGUUGCAGGGUAUAGACCCGAAACCCGGUGAUCUAGCCAUGGGCAGGUUGAAGGUUGGGUAACACUAACUGGAGGACCGAACCGACUAAUGUUGAAAAAUUAGCGGAUGACUUGUGGCUGGGGGUGAAAGGCCAAUCAAACCGGGAGAUAGCUGGUUCUCCCCGAAAGCUAUUUAGGUAGCGCCUCGUGAAUUCAUCUCCGGGGGUAGAGCACUGUUUCGGCAAGGGGGUCAUCCCGACUUACCAACCCGAUGCAAACUGCGAAUACCGGAGAAUGUUAUCACGGGAGACACACGGCGGGUGCUAACGUCCGUCGUGAAGAGGGAAACAACCCAGACCGCCAGCUAAGGUCCCAAAGUCAUGGUUAAGUGGGAAACGAUGUGGGAAGGCCCAGACAGCCAGGAUGUUGGCUUAGAAGCAGCCAUCAUUUAAAGAAAGCGUAAUAGCUCACUGGUCGAGUCGGCCUGCGCGGAAGAUGUAACGGGGCUAAACCAUGCACCGAAGCUGCGGCAGCGACACUAUGUGUUGUUGGGUAGGGGAGCGUUCUGUAAGCCUGUGAAGGUGGCCUGUGAGGGUUGCUGGAGGUAUCAGAAGUGCGAAUGCUGACAUAAGUAACGAUAAAGCGGGUGAAAAGCCCGCUCGCCGGAAGACCAAGGGUUCCUGUCCAACGUUAAUCGGGGCAGGGUGAGUCGACCCCUAAGGCGAGGCCGAAAGGCGUAGUCGAUGGGAAACAGGUUAAUAUUCCUGUACUUGGUGUUACUGCGAAGGGGGGACGGAGAAGGCUAUGUUGGCCGGGCGACGGUUGUCCCGGUUUAAGCGUGUAGGCUGGUUUUCCAGGCAAAUCCGGAAAACCAAGGCUGAGGCGUGAUGACGAGGCACUACGGUGCUGAAGCGACAAAUGCCCUGCUUCCAGGAAAAGCCUCUAAGCAUCAGGUAACAUCAAAUCGUACCCCAAACCGACACAGGUGGUCAGGUAGAGAAUACCAAGGCGCUUGAGAGAACUCGGGUGAAGGAACUAGGCAAAAUGGUGCCGUAACUUCGGGAGAAGGCACGCUGAUAUGUAGGUGAAGCGACUUGCUCGUGGAGCUGAAAUCAGUCGAAGAUACCAGCUGGCUGCAACUGUUUAUUAAAAACACAGCACUGUGCAAACACGAAAGUGGACGUAUACGGUGUGACGCCUGCCCGGUGCCGGAAG